AUGACCGAAAUGUGGUCAAGGUCUUGGCGGCAGGCCCCAUGGGAACUGCUCAUACGUGGAGGGGCAGGAUACGGAGUCUUCUGCUCCCGGAUGAGACCCCCCCCCCCCAGAGAUGGCCAGGGGAGAAGACCUCAGGAUGGACGUCCAUUCGUGGAGGGGGCUCCCGUAGCAGACAGGUACCCUAAGAGUGCGUGCACAGGGCAGUGUUGGGUUGGGCCUGAGAGGUGCAGCAUGCACAUGGUGGGGCUCAUAAAAUUGGCGACUCUUGCCCAAACUUCACCUUCUAGAAGAGUUCUUUUAACAUCCGUUGUUAAGUGUCCACGCUGUGCCAGACUCUGUGCUGAGGGCUGGGACGCAGUGGUGGAGCUGGAGGUCUUCCGACCGCCCGGCUGUCCCCAGGGUGACCUAUGUGGACCCCGUCACCCAGGCUCCCCCCCCCUCUGGUGAGUGGGGAGCCCAGGGAGACUGGCCUGAAGGAGGAUAGUGAGGUCGGGGGCGCAUUUCCACAGCUCCUUCCCUUUCGAGCUCCCCUCACUUUUGCAGAGUUCCUUUCAGGCCAUCCCUAUCCACGUGUCCCCUUUCCUGCUGCCACCUUGACUAAUAACGUCAUGGGUACAGAGUGGCUCGGAAACAGCUCCUCCCAUGAUCAGAUUCUGGAUUACCCACAUAUGCACCGAGUGUGCAGGUCACCUCCUGGCUGGUGGGAAAUGGGUCGUGGGUCCCCCACAGCACGCAGCAGUGUUACUCAGAUUGUCACUGGUGAUGCAACGGAUGAGGAGAUCCUCAGCUGUGACUCUCAGUUACUGUGAUGACCGGCGGUUAUAUGAACUGCAUGGCCACCUGGCUGCUUCUUGCGGCCCUAGACAGCAUACACAGGGGAAAAGAGGAAUGAAAAAGUGUGAACAUACGAAUGAGAACAAACGUGGAGCCUUGGCAGCUUGAAGGAGUCGCUCAUCUCGGCUGCUCCCCGGGCAGAUGAGCUGAGGACCAAGAGUGGGGUCUGAGCGUAAGGGGGGCAAAGCUGAGGUGCCAAUUAAAUGCUCAACCCCAUCAGAUCUCUUCAAGGAGAGGGUGCCAGUGGGAAGGAGUGGAAGUGGAGAUGCACAGUGGAGACGUGGGCAGAAAUGGGGGAGAAGCUGAACUUUCGGAGUUGCAAAUUCCCUGCAACUCCCGCAUUCCACAAGGCAGAGCCCCUCUUCCCCCUCCUUCCUCCUUCCCCUCCUCCCUCUUGCCCUCCUCCUCUUUCUCCUCCUGUCCUCCCCCCUGCCCUCCCCGGAGGAAACCAAACUUUCUCUGUUGAAAAGCCUUUCAACACCUGUUCCAGGGGAAGUUGCCACACAAUCUGAUGCCAGUUCUUCUCGGGACCCACCCACCACCUCUCAUUGCUCCAGCCCCGGUAACCAGUUGAGACCUACAGAGCCCAGGUGACAAGGCAUCAGAGUUCUCUGGGGGAGAUGGCACACACAGGGAGGGAACCCCAGCUCCGCUCCAGCCUGCACCAGCAGGGGCCUGGGACAAGCAUGGGAGUAGAACCUAAGAGUACUGGACCAAAUGGGAUGGAAUAACUCUUGAUGAGGCUGAAAUCUUUGACACAGAUGCCCUCACCCGGGAUUUACUUGUUGGCUCAAGCCCUGAGAGUGUGGUUAAUAAUCUUCCAGGUUGACUAAUUGAAGCCUGAACAAGGAUGGUUUGGAAUUAAUGAGGUCAAAACUGCUUGAAAUCUCUGGCCUGCUGUACAGGAUGGAGGUCAAAGGCUCAGGGAAAUAGAACUGGAGAAAUGGAUCAAUUGUUUGCAGCUGACUCAGGCACUCCCUAAUCAUAGGCAAUCCCUCUCUCCUGAGGGGGCCCGGAGGGCCCUGACAAUUGCACGGGUGAGUUGGUCAACAGCUCUCGGGGCUGUCCUCCGCAGGCUGGAGGUCACGCUGGGGAGCACAGCACAGACACCAAAUUCCCCAUCUCAGCAGGAAUGAUGGGAGCCCAGAGUGGGGUGGGAGCAGCCAUCAGCCACCAGGGCCAGGGGCAGCCUGAGGCCUCAGGAAGGCACACAGAAUGCCCAGCAGUAGUAUCUGGACCCACCGGCAUCUGUGUUGCUGGCUCCUUGCUCAUGGGGUCCCUGGACUUGAAAGAGAUGCCUGCUAAGGGCUGCUCGACAUUUGUAGGUAUGAAAAUCCCAGGUCUGCUAAGAGAAACUACCUCGUGGCUGCUCCCCAGUCCCCAGACCUAAGCCACUUCCCACCCCAGUGCACACCUUUCUGGACAAUUCCUUUAUUAAGUACUCCCUUGAAUGACCCAAGUUGAAGAAUGCCGCCUGUUUCCUGCUGGGAUCCCCAUCUGAGAGGGCAAUGCCUUCACGGGCCUUUCAUGUCGCUGGGUGUGAUGGUCAUUACGGACGCAAUUAUCAAAAUCAAUACAUCAGGGGGUUCUCCUCCCCAGAGACGGGUGGGACAAGGAAAAGUCACCCAGAGAGAAUCCAGUUACAACAGAAACCAAAGUUCAAAGGAAAUAGUGAGAAAUAGGGUUUGAUUUAGACUCUGUCUUGAUAAAUUAAACUGAAAAUUAUGGACAUGGGUUAGUUUUACCUUGGAUUUACCAAAAGGUAAAUUUAUGCAAAAUUGCAGCUUUGCUCAAACUCUUAGAAUAAAUAAAUAACAAAUCAGUGUUAAUGGUGGCA
rnacentral:lncRNA from 1 species